rnacentral:tRNA from 1 species
UCCGUUGUGGUCUAGUGGUUAGGAUUUGCGGCUCGCAUCCGCAAGGCCCCGGGUUCGAUUCCCGGCGACGGAA